AUACGUAGGGUGCGAGCGUUAAUCGGAAUUACUGGGCGUAAAGCGUGCGCAGGCGGUUAUGUAAGACAGAUGUGAAAUCCCCGGGCUCAACCUGGGAACUGCAUUUGUGACUGCAUAGCUAGAGUACGGCAGAGGGGGAUGGAAUUCCGCGUGUAGCAGUGAAAUGCGUAGAUAUGCGGAGGAACACCGAUGGCGAAGGCAAUCCCCUGGGCCUGUACUGACGCUCAUGCACGAAAGCGUGGGGAGCAAACAGGAUUAGAAACCCUAGUAGUCC
rnacentral:rRNA from 1 species